rnacentral:rRNA from 1 species
GAUGAACGCUGGCGGCGUGCCUAAUACAUGCAAGUCGAGCGAACAGACGAGGAGCUUGCUCCUCUGACGUUAGCGGCGGACGGGUGAGUAACACGUGGAUAACCUACCUAUAAGACUGGGAUAACUUCGGGAAACCGGAGCUAAUACCGGAUAAUAUAUUGAACCGCAUGGUUCAAUAGUGAAAGACGGUUUUGCUGUCACUUAUAGAUGGAUCCGCGCCGCAUUAGCUAGUUGGUAAGGUAACGGCUUACCAAGGCAACGAUGCGUAGCCGACCUGAGAGGGGGAUCGGCCACACUGGAACUGAGACACGGUCCAGACUCCUACGGGAGGCAGCAGUAGGGAAUCUUCCGCAAUGGGCGAAAGCUUGACGGAGCAACGCCGCGUGAGUGAUGAAGGUCUUCGGAUCGUAAAACUCUGUUAUUAGGGAAGAACAAAUGUGUAAGUAACUAUGCACGUCUUGACGGUACCUAAACAGAAAGCCACGGCUAACUACGU